rnacentral:lncRNA from 10 species
GCUUGGCUGAGUGACUUCUCUGUUCCACAUGGCAUUGACACGGUACGUUUCAGCUGGUGGCUGGCCUGGUCUGGUGGGUCCAAGGUAGCUUUGUUCACAUGCCUGCUGUCUUGGUGAGGUGGCCAGAAGUUUGGGCUGAGCUAGUUCUUUCUCUCUUUUUCUGCAGUCUCAGGGCCUCUCCAUGUGUUUUCUCGAGCAAUGUGUUUGGUCUUCUGGAAUUAUGAUUCAUGGAUUCAAGAGACCACGGUAGAAGCUUCUAAUCCUCUUAAAAAGCAAGACUGAUCAUGGGAAACUGUCCUGUCCACUAGUACAUUAUUUCAAUCAGAGGAAGCUACUCUCUGAUUUGUAACCUACUUCUGUCUCCAGGACAACCAUAAGACCAAAGGACUCCUUGGACACCUAGUCAGGAGGGUGGUGAGUUGAACUGAGCAAGCUUGAGCAUCUCAAACUGAAGUGGACACUUGCGCUUUAUACAGAGUAAGGCCCAAAUUGAAUUAACCUGGAGUGAGUCUGCAACAAGCCUAGCGUCUGCAUUUCUAUAACUGAUCUCAGCUAACACUGGAGCUACUUAAAUUCCCAAUGAUUUUAGAAAACUAUUUUUUUUAAAGUGUGUGAUUUGAAGGUAAAUGAACCUAUUCCAAUUUAACUGCUUUAUUUUUGUGGUUGCAUAUAUAAUCAUAUUUAAGCAAUUUAAAAUCCAAACUCCCUUUUGGAGCUGUUUUAUUUUCUGAAGGGUCUUCCUUCCUUUUUCUUAUGCCCAAGAUGGUGUCUGGGUGCAGAAGGAAGCUUAUUUACCUUCCGGCUUUGGGGAAGGGCUCCUUACCCAAGUGAUGUGGUUCUCUCGUUUCCCUGUUGAUCACCAGCUGAGAUAUGUACUCACCUCACUUGACUUCUAUCCUCACUGUGUCUGCUGAUAAAAUGUCAGUUUUGUCCUCCAUUAGCUUUCUGGCCUGCCUGUGUAACCCAAGGCCUUCAGUGUCAUCUCACCUCUCUCUGUAGUGACCCAAAGGCAAGUUCAUAGAUUCCUGACUCUUGGCUAGCUUCUAUGACUUUUUCUAGGAACAAGUAGGAGCUUCUGGCUCUUUUCUAUACUGCAAGGGAAAGUGUAGUAAACUUGAGGAUGGCUAAUACAGUCCCCUCUAACAACUCAUGCUUCUUUCUCCUCCACUGCAAACACACAUGCUGGUUUAGGCCAGCAGGCACUAUGUGUGGUGUGGUGGUCUGCCCUCUGUCCCAGACAGGAAUUGCAGUGCCUGAGGGCCUUUUUCCACCCAGGGCACAACUCGCCAGUUUGAAGUUUCUAGCUUAUCUAUCUUCUCUGCCUCAUUUCUGGCUCCACAUUCAACCCCUCCACUGGCUAAAUCUUAGGGGUCCAGAGUGGGACCACUGAGAUCCUAAAGAAUCCAGGCAGGGCGUGCACUUUGCUCCCUGCUAAGCUCUCCUGCUGCUCAGGAGGGGUGUGUGCCCUCUCCUCAAUCUGGUAGAUACUUCUUUCAUCAUUGGUUUUGAAAUCCUCCACUGAUGACUUUGUUGUUCUGGGUGUUUCCUCUGUCCUCUCCUCUCAUAUCUUAAUGGUGGAUAGGGUUUUAGGGAUUAAAAAAUCUCUGGAUUACUGAAAGGAAAAAUGUUUAGAGAGGCAUUUAAGAUGAUUUUUCUUAUUAUCACUUUUAAA